CGGAUUGAAGUCUGCAACUCGACUUCAUGAAGUCGGAAUCGCUAGUAAUCGCGAAUCAGCAUGUCGCGGUGAAUACGUUCCCGGGCCUUGUACACACCGCCCGUCACACCAUGGGAGUGGGUUGCACCAGAAGUAGAUAGUCUAACCUUAGGGGGGACGUUUACCACGGUGUGGUUCAUGACUGGGGUGAAGUCGUAACAAGGUAGCCGUAGGGGAACCUGCGGCUGGAUCACCUCCUUAAAA
rnacentral:rRNA from 1 species